GCUGGCGGCAGGUCUAACACAUGCAAGUCGAGCGCGUGUAGCAAUACACGAGCGGCAGACGGGUGAGUAACGCGUGGGAACGUGCCCUUCGGUUCGGAAUAACCCAGGGAAACUUGGGCUAAUACCGGAUACGUCCGAAAGGAGAAAGAUUUAUCGCCGAAGGAUCGGCCCGCGUCCGAUUAGCUAGUUGGUGAGGUAACGGCUCACCAAGGCGACGAUCGGUAGCUGGUCUGAGAGGAUGAUCAGCCACACUGGGACUGAGACACGGCCCAGACUCCUACGGGAGGCAGCAGUGGGGAAUAUUGGACAAUGGGCGCAAGCCUGAUCCAGCCAUGCCGCGUGAGUGAUGAAGGCCCUAGGGUUGUAAAGCUCUUUCGGCGGGGAAGAUAAUGACGGUACCCGCAGAAGAAGCCCCGGCUAACUUCGUGCCAGCAG
rnacentral:rRNA from 1 species